CAAGCAAGCCACUUUGUCGCUGCGAAUUUAUUCGGAGAGGAAAGUCCGGACACCAGAGAGUAAGCAUAGCGGGUAAUGCCCGUCACUUCUUCGGAAGGAGGACAAGUGCAACAGAAAGUAUGUACAGUUCGGCUGUAGUGAAACCAGGUAAACUCUAUGCGGUGCAAUGCCAUGUAUACCAGCAGUUAAGGGCUACUCGUCCGUUGCUGGGGGGUAGGCAGAUGGAGACCUUGGGUAACUAAGGUCCUAGAUAAAUGACAAAGCAUUACUUUUGUAAUGACAGAAUCCGGCUUAUCGGCUUGCUUUUUUA
rnacentral:RNase_P_RNA from 2 species